GACGUAGGGUGCAAGCGUUGUCCGGAUUUAUUGGGCGUAAAGAGCUCGUAGGCAGCUUGUUGCGUCGACUGUGAAAACCCGCGGCUUAACCGCGGGCUUGCAGUUGAUACGGGCAGGCUAGAGUUCGGUAGGGGAGACUGGAAUUCCUGGUGUAGCGGUGAAAUGCGCAGAUAUCAGGAGGAACACCGGUGGCGAAGGCGGGUCUCUGGGCCGUAACUGACGCUGAGGAGCGAAAGCGUGGGGAGCGAACAGG
rnacentral:rRNA from 1 species